GAUAUGGAUAUUAUCAGAUUAUCAGUUUAGCUUCUCUUCAUCAUCUUCUUCUUCUUUCUUGCAGCUUUCCUCAAACUCCUCAUCACACCCUUGUUUGGGAUUCUCUAGAGCCCUCUUCUCCUGCUCUUCCUCUUCCACUUCUGUUGAGUUCUUCUCCCUUGCACUCCUCCAAUUCUCCUUCUUCCUCCUCUCCGCCAUGUUCCUCAAUGCCUCCAGCAGCUCGCUCAAGGCCUUGUCUUUGUGCCGCCGGUUCUUUAUCAGCACUUCACUGAUAUCCGCCGGAGUCAUCUGGGCUUUGUCUAUUACCGCUUCUAUCUCCUCCAUUAUCUGCAACCCCAUGUCGGGUUCGCUGAACCCCAGGUAAUUCUGGAGCAGAAUCUUCAAUGCCGGGAAGGUGCAGUAGCUCAUGAAUAUGUGCAUGUCCAUCCGGCCGCUCCGGAGCAAUGCAGGGUCGAGCUUCUCAAUGUGGUUGGUGGUGAACACGAAAAUCCUCUCGCUCCCGCAGCACGACCACAGCCCGUCAGUGAAGUUCAGGAGGCCGGAGAGCGUGAUCGAGUUCACACCAUCCUCGCCGGCGCCGGCGCCGCCUCCACCGCGCAUUUCAUGGGGGGUGCCGUCGUAGCCCUGCCUCCCGCCCGAAUUGCUCUUCUUCCUGUUGCCGAGGUUGAUGGAGCAGUCGAUGUCCUCGAUCACGAUUAUCGAUUUGGAACUGGUUUUCAUCAGGAGCUUCCGCAGCUCGGAAUUGGUGUGCACCUCCGUCAAUUCCA
rnacentral:lncRNA from 1 species